rnacentral:rRNA from 1 species
GUCGAACGGCAGCACAGGUAGCAAUACCGGGUGGCGAGUGGCGGACGGNCUGNUUAAUGCAUCGGGAUCUACCCAAACGUGGGGGAUAACGUAGGGAAACUUACGCUAAUACCGCAUACGUCCCAUGGGAGAAAGCGGGGGCUCGCAAGACCUCGCGCGGUUGGACGAACCGAUGUGCGAUUAGCUAGUUGGCGGGGUAAUGGCCCACCAAGGCGACGAUCGCUAGCUGGUCUGAGAGGAUGAUCAGCCACACUGGGACUGAGACACGGCCCAGACUCCUACGGGAGGCAGCAGUGGGGAAUAUUGGACAAUGGGCGCAAGCCUGAUCCAGCAAUGCCGCGUGUGUGAAGAAGGCCUUCGGGUUGUAAAGCACUUUUAUCAGGAGCGAAAUGCCAUGGGUCAAUACCCCGUGGAGCUGACGGUACCUGAGGAAUAAGCACCGGCUAACUUCGUGCCAGCAGCCGCGGUAAU